rnacentral:rRNA from 1 species
UGGGGAAUAUUGGACAAUGGGCGCAAGCCUGAUCCAGCAAUGCCGCGUGUGUGAAGAAGGCCUGCGGGUUGUAAAGCACUUUCGGUGGGGAGGAAGGCCUGAUGGUUAAUAGUCAUCAGGAUUGACGUUACCCACAGAAGAAGCACCGGCUAACUCUGUGCCAGCAGCCGCGGUAAUACAGAGGGUGCGAGCGUUAAUCGGAAUUACUGGGCGUAAAGGGUGCGUAGGUGGUCAAUUAAGUUAGGUGUGAAAUCCCUGGGCUUAACCUAGGAAUGGCAUUUAAGACUGAUUGGCUAGAGUUUGGGAGAGGGAAGUGGAAUUUCCGGUGUAGCGGUGAAAUGCGUAGAUAUCGGAAGGAACACCAGUGGCGAAGGCGACUUCCUGGCCCGAUACUGACACUGAGGCACGAAAGCGUGGGGAGCGAACAGGAUUAGAUACCCAAGUAGUCCCUGAGCGGGCUGGCAAGGCGCAU